AUGAGGCAGAAAAGCAUGGAUGGUGUAAAUAGCCCAAAGACACCGACAGAGAAGACAGCUCUCCACCCCUGCCCUCCUUCGCCGCCUUGGGAGGCGCAGAGUAGCCAGGAAGCCCUCCACCCCCGCGGUGAGGGUCUCGCACGCGCCGCGCUGGGCGCUCUACUCGCCCAUACGAGCCGGAUUUCCGAGUUAGUGGAGCGCGAGCAGCAGAAUGGGGGGAAUCACCCCGACACUGCUUUCCGCUCACCUCCGGAUCUCUCUAUCAGAGCCAAACCCUCCUCCCGGCCGCUGAGCCGAGUUCCAAUGUGGCUGGCGCCUCCAGUCAGACCUGCCGCGCCCUCCUGCCCGCGCGCUGCCCGAGGGAUGCGGGGCUGGACGCCCGCCCUGGGCCCCAGGACGAGGCGGACAGAGGGCCCGGGUGACAGUCCGAUUUCUCUGUCCCCGAGGCAGGCAGUCAGCCCCCGGCAAUCCUGGACCGGCGAGGCUGAACAGGCUUCGCGAACGCACCUCCGCCCGACUUAUUUUGAAAAACUUCAGGAAAACCAUCAGCACAUCGAGCCCAAAUUGCAAGGCUGGCCCGGGGGCGCCCGCGCGCUCGGACCCACCCGCAGCGCGGACGGACAGUUCCCAUCCACCCCGGGUCCUCAGUCCCCGCCCCGAGCCCCGCUCACUCACGCGCGCCGGGCCAGACCUCGCGGCCAGCCGUGUCGCGGGCCGGGGCAGCCGCAUGGUCCCUGGGAGCUCGCGUGCGCCAAGGCGCAGAAGCCGCGUCCGUGUGGGGGUCCCGCCGGGCGGAAAGCGCCGCGGAGCAGGUCGGCGAGGCCAAGCCGAGGCGGGCGGCGGACGUGCGGCCGCGGGCAGGAACCCGGCAAGGCCCGCCCCGGGGCGGGGACCGCAGAACCCGGGGGCCUGGCCACGAAGCCGGAGACAUUCCCCCUCCCCCCACCCCCACCUCCUCGGAGGGAGCUGCUCUGGGGCCGAGCGGGAGAGGCGAGCGGGUGCCCAGACCCAGCAGGGCAUGGCCACGGCCAAGGCCAAGAUAGGGGUCGGCAGAGGGCGGCGAUCCAGGGGCGCGCUUACCCGGCUUCGGAGGCGCCUUCGAAAGUACGCGCUGGCCGGGAGCAUCCCGGCGCAAAUCCCGGCGCCCCGCGUGGUCCUCCGCCCGCCGCGCGCCCUCCCUUCUGCCUCCUUCGGGGAACCUCGGCUUGGAUUAACGCCUUACUCUUUACCUCUGCUGAGCGGCUCCGCUCCGGCGACGGCUCCGGGGUUGGGCUCCCACGGGGUCUGCGCGCGUCCUUCCGGGCGCCCCGGGCUGGAGAGGCCCACGUGAGGCUCCUCCGCCCUCCCCGGCACUCGGAGGACUGA
rnacentral:lncRNA from 1 species